rnacentral:rRNA from 1 species
UUUAUAAUAAAAUAUAAUUUAAUUGGUUUAAAAAUGCUUUUAUUUAUUAUUAAUUAUAAUUUGUAUUUUUAAGUGAAAUUUUAAUAGAAUAAAUAAUUAAUAAUUUUAAGUUAAUUAAUAAAUUAAUCAAUAAACUAGGAUUAGAUACCCUAUUAUUAUAACUAAUUUUAAAAACCAUAUUAGUAAUAGAUUUAUUUUCGAAAGUAAAAUAAUUUGGCGGUAUUUUAAUCUUUUUAGAGGAAUCUGUUCUGUAAUUGAUAUUACACGAUUAAAUUUACUUUUUAUUUAAAUUUUUAUAUCGUUGUUAAAAACAUAUUUAAAAAUUAUGUUUAGGAUUUUUUAAAAGAAAUUAUUUCAGAUCAAGAUAGAGUUUAUUUAAAAGUAGAAAUGGAUUACAUUGUUUAAUAAAUUAGGAUUAAGUAUUUUAAAAUUUAAAUAAUUUGGAUUUAAAUGUAAUUAAAUUAUAAUUUUUUUAAUGAUUAUAGUUCUAAAAU